rnacentral:rRNA from 1 species
UACAGAGGGGGCAAGCGUUGUUCGGAAUUACUGGGCGUAAAGGGCGCGUAGGCGGCCUUCUAAGUCGAACGUGAAAUCCCCGGGCUCAACCCGGGAACUGCGUCCGAUACUGGAAGGCUGGAAUCCGGGAGAGGGAUGCGGAAUUCCAGGUGUAGCGGUGAAAUGCGUAGAUAUCUGGAGGAACACCGGUGGCGAAGGCGGCAUCCUGGACCGGCAUUGACGCUGAGGCGCGAAAGCGUGGGGAGCAAACGGG